GCAAAGGGAGAGUGCCUGCGGGAGCUCCCGGGUCGCUCUGAACUUGAAGGUUUCGCUUUCGUCCAACUAGGGGACAACGAGGUGGCAAUCAACUUCCUCUCCCGAGACACCCCCUGCGCGACAAGGACAGCAGGAACGCCCCCUGGAGUGCCCGAUCCCAGCUUUUCCGCCGGCCCGGGAGCGCAGGGGCCUGCAGGAGGCACCAAGAGAAGACGGACGGCCAUCCCUACAUCAAAUUGUACUGUCUUCCCCAAGCAGGCUCAGCUAGAAGGCAGAGGGGGCUGCUACACAGCGCUCAGCCACCAUUUCUGCCUUCCACCCCUGCAGAGCAUGCAGGUGUUUCCUGACAUCUGCAUGCCACCCAGUCCUACCUUUCUCAUACCCGAUGUCAGCACCCCUACCCUCCCUCCAGGCUAUAAGGAUAGGUGGGAUAGGAACCUAAGGCUGCCUGUCUCUGUGGUACAAAAUGUUUUCCUCCAUCUCAGAUGUUAGGUCUUUUAAGACGGCUAGUUAAGCAUUCUGCCAAAGAGAACUGCUGAUGAUUUAUUAUUGCUGAUGGUGCCCUUAAUGGAUUUUUAUAUAAAGACCUGCAGCAUGAAAUGACCUCAGAGACCAUUUAGUAAAAUCUCUUUAUUUUAAAAAUGACAAAAUUAUCACCCCAAGUCCAUAGUUUACAUUAGUAUUCACUUUUGGUUAUGUAUAUUCUAUGGAUUAGGACAAAUGUAUAUAUAAUGACAUGUAUUCACUAUGAGAGUAUCAAUACAGAAAAAUUUUUUUACUGCCAUAAAAAUCCUCUGUGCUCUGCCUACUAUUCCUCACUCCUUCACUGAUCUUUUUCUUGUUUCCACAGUUCAGAUGAUAAUGAUGCAUUAAUUUAGGUUCAUCGAUCGUAACAAAUGUACCACUCUGGCGGGGGGUGUUGAGAAUGGGGGAGGCUGGCAUGCGUCAGGGCAAGGUGGGUAUGAGACAUCUCUGUAUCUUCCUCUCAAUUUUUUCUCUGAACCUAGAACUGCCCUAAAAAAAAAAAAUAACAAGUCGUAAAAAAUAAGAAAAUGGAGACUUUGGGAGGCUAAGUGACCUGACCAAGGUCACAGAGCUGGUUCCCAGUGGACCAAGACUAGAAUGCAGGGGCCUUAUGUUGCAAGUUUCAUGCACCGCACAUUGCUACCCUGCAUCUCAUAAUAACAAUAAAAAGUCAGGAGAUACUUGGAAAUAGAGGAGGAUCUCCUCUAGGUCCAACUGAAUCACCCACUUGCUGCUCAUGGGGAGAAGCGGGGCAGGUACUGAAAUUUACAUCUGGGUUCUGUUUUAACACCACCCCCCACCCCCACCCCAACCACACACAACCCUGGCACCUCCACACUUCUGCUCUUGCUGUGCUCUGCCUGGAAGACUUCCUUCUCCAUCUUCAGCUGCUACUUGCUCCUGAAGGUGAAGCCUCCUUUGGGCAGAAUGAACUCCUUUCUCACAAUUCUCAACUCUGAGUACUUUGCAAAUAACUCAGUCAUAGAAUACUGUAAAUACUGUGUAAUACUGUACUCAAUGGUUGCUUAUUAGCCCUCCAAUUAGACCCUGAGCUCUGUUAAGCAGGACUAGAUCUUAAAUUACCAUCGCAUUUCCAGAGACAAGCUCUGGGAUGGAGUACCAUUUAUGUGCUCAGAUCUAAAAUUUCUUUUUUCCAGAGUACAGUUUAAGACUAGAAAACAUUAUCAAACAAAAAUAAAUACUGCUUCUUCAAUGAAGCAGCUGAUAGAAUAUAUGGAAUAUUGUACGUUUAAGAGUGCUGGUAGGGGACAAACUAUGUUAUUAUGAGGAUAUACAGAUAUUCUUUCCUUCACAUUAGAAACAUGAUUGACAAUAAAACUGUAAUUUUUCAUUGUUAUGAAACUGCUAAUAACCAUUUAAAAAUAAUAGGUAAUCAUUUGCUUUAAAAAUAAAAGAAUCAUACAGAAUAUAUAAAGUAUAUAAAGAACAGUUUGGUCCUUGGUCAUGGUACUUGCUGGGAGUCAUUUUGGAAGGUUAUAAGGCCAUCAGUGAUGAGGAGGCACAGAUCAAAUAAUGAACCUGGAAACGUCUGGUUUUAGAUUGUGAUCACAUAAAAACAAGGUCAGUCACAAAGUUAUUGCUUAUAAUCCUUGCUACUUUAGGACCAAUAUUACAUUUAAAUGUACUAAAGCAAAAAAAAAAAUACAAUAAUCUACUUUGCAAGUGUCAAAUAACCAACUGUUUGAUUCAAGAUUUUAAAAAAGGAAAUGAAUACACACCACACAAAGAUGGUUAAGCUGUUUUUUCCUGCCACCUACACAAUGUAUAAUAGUGCAUAAUUAGAAAUAAAUUUUAGGUCAAAAAACUUCACCUUUUUAAAGUAUCUUUUGCUCCACUUUAUAGGUUCCUGUGAUUUGUAUUUUCCCUAAAACACAACAUUUGCUCUGUUCAUUUACCUCAUAAGGACUUGAUAGAAA